AGUGUGAGGUAGGCGGAAUGCGUUGUGUAGCGGUGAAAUGCAUAGAUAUGACGCAGAACUCCGAUUGCGAAGGCAGCUUACCAACACUUUACGGACGCUGAGGCACGAAAGCGUGGGUAUCGAACAGGAUUAGAUACCCUGGUAGUCCACGCAGUAAACGAUGAAUACUAAUUGUUCGGGAGGCAACUCCUGAGUGAUACAGCGAAAGCGUUAAGUAUUCCACCUGGGGAGUACGCCGGCAACGGUGAAACUCAAAGGAAUUGACGGGGGCCCGCACAAGCGGAGGAACAUGUGGUUUAAUUCGAUGAUACGCGAGGAACCUUACCCGGGCUCAAACGUUGGGGGAAUGCUCCUGAAAGGGAGCAGCCAGCAAUGGUCGCCAACGAGGUGCUGCAUGGUUGUCGUCAGCUCGUGCCGUGAGGUGUCGGCUUAAGUGCCAUAACGAGCGCAACCCCUGCGUCCAGUUACCAUCAAGUGAAGUUGGGGACUCUGGACGGACUGCCGGCGCAAGCCGUGAGGAAGGCGGGGAUGACGUCAAAUCAGCACGGCCCUUACGUCCGGGGCGACACACGUGUUACAAUGGCGUGGAACAGCGGGAAGCCACCUGGCGACAGGGAGCGGACCCCUAAAACACGUCUCAGUUCGGAUUGGAGUCUGCAACUCGACUCCAUGAAGCUGGAUUCGCUAGUAAUCGCGCAUCAGCCAUGGCGCGGUGAAUACGUUCCCGGGCCUUGUACACACCGCCCGUCAAGCCAUGGGAGCCGGGAGUGCCUGAAGUACGUAACCGCAAGGAGCGUCCAAGGGUAACACUGGUGACUGGGGCUAAGUCGUAACAAGGUAACCA
rnacentral:rRNA from 1 species